AUUGAACGCUGGCGGCAGGCCUAACACAUGCAAGUCGAGCGCUUCUAGCUUGCUAGAGGAGCGGCGAACGGGUGAGUAACGCGUAGGAAUCUGCCUGGUAGUGGGGGGCAACGUCUCGAAAGGGACGCUAAUACCGCAUACGCCCUACGGGGGAAAGGGGGGGAUCUUCGGACCUCUCGCUAUCAGAUGAGCCUGCGUCG
rnacentral:rRNA from 1 species